UACAGAGGUCUCAAGCGUUGUUCGGAUUCAUUGGGCGUAAAGGGUGCGUAGGCGGCGCGUUAAGUCGGGUGUGAAAUCUUGGAGCUUAACUCCGAAACUGCAUUCGAUACUGCCGUGCUUGAGGACUGGAGAGGAGACUGGAAUUUACGGUGUAGCGGUGAAAUGCGUAGAGAUCAUGAGGAAGACCAGUGGCGAAGGCGGGUCUCUGGACAGUUCCUGACACUGAGGCACGAAGGCCAGGGGAGCAAACGGG
rnacentral:rRNA from 1 species